UCACAUCUAGAAAUACAAAUCUCUCUGGCAGACACAAAACGGUACAGGGCUGCAAGAGUUGAGCCCAAUAAACGCGAAUGGGUGAAUGCCAAUCCAGAUUAAGACUACACAUCGUAAAUAAAUGAGCAUCAGAAAUAACAGCGCUUCGUGUGAGCAGUAUCCUGAUAUGCAGUGCCAGGUGUCCUCCACUAUGCCUUCAACAUCAUUCUCACAAGAUGGCGUCGGCCAGAGAGUACUUAGGGCAUCCUUCAGAGGCAGACCUCUUGUUGGUGAUAAACUUGAACUACCAAAACAGUACUCAGGUAUUGUUAUGCAAGAACAGAAGCAGCCCUUAACAGAAAGUACAGAAAGGACAGCGCAUGUGACACAUGCCUUCAAAUCUAUUGUGUACUGGAACUGGGCAAAGCAGCCUUCUAAAAAUGAUGCUUUUAUUAGUAUGCUGGAUUGGAUUGAUAUUGCUGAGGUGGGUGAUCUUGCUAUUGGCUGACUACAUCACGUGUCCUAUGCUGUCAUCAGCUGGCGAGAUCACAUGACAUGAGCUACAUACAUCGGACUGAGGAUGUGCUUCUUGUAUCAGGAAUGGAAAUAGUUUGUAUACACAAAAUGUUUGAAAGUAAAUUAUAAUCAUAUUUGUUUAUUCCUCGGUAUUCACAAUGAAUCUCACAGUCCCGGACAAUGUAGGUAGUCUUGUUUGUUAAUGUUAUAUAGCAUAUUUCCCUCCUCCUCCUCCUUCGUGUGAUAGUGAAACUUCAGUUCUUGAUUGUUUUAUUGGGCAAAGAUAGUAGUGCUAAACAUCAAUGAAAGAGUUGUAAUAAGAUCACUAAAACAAUGUUUUAUUUGUAAGAUGGUAAACAACUGUAAUUGUGACUGUUUUCAAUAAGUUGCUACAUGUUUAAUGUAGAUUUAAUGCUUCAAUCAUGAUGCAUCUGUUCAGUUUUCCAUUAAUGUUUUGUAUAUUUAUGCAUGAUAAUUAAAAAAGUUGACAUCACUUAAA